rnacentral:rRNA from 1 species
CCUACGGGAGGCAGCAGUGAGGAAUAUUGGUCAAUGGGCGAGAGCCUGAACCAGCCAAGUCGCGUGAGGGAAGACGGUCCUAUGGAUUGUAAACCUCUUUUGUCGGGGAGCAAAAAGGCCUCGUGAGGCCACAAGUGAGAGUACCCGAAGAAAAAGCAUCGGCUAACUCCGUGCCAGCAGCCGCGGUAAUACGGAGGUGGCAAGCGUUGUCCGGAUUUACUGGGUGUAAAGGGCGUGUAGCCGGGAAGGCAAGUCAGAUGUGAAAUCCGGAGGCUCAACCUCCGAAUUGCAUUUGAAACUGUUUUUCUUGAGUACUGGAGAGGCAGACGGAAUUCCUUGUGUAGCGGUGAGAUGCGUAGAUAUAAGGAGGAACACCAGUGGCGAAGGCGGUCUGCUGGACAGCAACUGACGGUGAGGCGCGAAAGCGUGGGGAGCAAACAGGAUUAGAUACCCCGGUAGUC